GCCCCGAUGGCGAAAUUGGUAGACGCAAGGGACUUAAAAUCCCUCGUCCUAUGGACGUGCCGGUUCGACCCCGGCUCGGGGCACCA
rnacentral:tRNA from 1 species